AUGGCAUUUUUUUUGGGGGGGGGGGGGGUAUUAAGGCCUGAGAGUAGAGAGGCAAGAGAGAGAAAGAAAGGCCUCCCCUCCUCUUUCCCCUUCAACGUGAGGAGAGAGAGUAGGCGGGAAACAGGCCCAGAAGCAGCCCCCAUGGCAAGGCAGCAAGGAAGGAAGGCAGCAAGGCAGGGGCCUCUCCUCCUCCCGCCCAAACCGAGCCCUCCCCCGCUGCCCCGUCUUUCUCUCUGUGCGAGGACAUCUCGCCUAGAUGGUGCUGAGGAGGCUCCAGCUCCGCCGCCACUACCGCCGCGUCCGUCCCUUCAGCCCUUGUGGGGGAGGGACCGUCCCCAACCGGGGUUCUUAUAUAGCUACCUCAGCCCGAGUGUGCCGUGUGCAUCUCCCUCUCCGCUCGGUACCAAACCGCCGCCGCCGUGGCCGCCGCCUCCUCCCACUCCGCAGUGCUGCUGCUGCUGCUGCGGGAAGCUGGCUGGGCUCCUACUACUCACUACGCCUGCCGCGGCCUCCUCCUCCUCAUUCACCAAAGCGGCUUACGCCAAUUCGCUGGCCUCCUUCUUCUUCCCCAAGCGCCACGCGCCGCCCGCCUCCCCCCCGUUUGCGGCAACCAGGCCCGGCGCAGAGGCUCGCGUAGAGGGGUGUGUGUUGCCUAUGGAGGGUCUGCAUUUAUUGGGUCAAUCCAGUGGUCCUAUGUGGUUGGAAGAGGAGGCAGCAAAUUCAGUUGCGGUUGUUAUGGUUUGAGACCGAACACGGGAUUGUCUUGGCAAGAUUUGUUCAGAAGAAAUUUGACCUUGUCUUCCUCUAAAGCUGAGAGAGUGAGCCUUGCCUGGAGUCACUCAAUUUCCAAGGCUGGGCAGGGAUUCGAACGCUGGUCUUGAGUCACGGUCCAAGACUAGACCAGAGGCAUCAAACUUGUGGCCUACAACUCCUAGAAGCCAUAGCCAACUUGUCCAAUGAUCAGGAUUUCUGGGAGCUGAAGCGCAAAACACCUGAAGGGCCACAGGUCUGACACCACUGCACUAGGCCAUGCUCUGACUGCUGUGUAAUAUUAAAAUAAUAUUUUGUGAAUGCCCAGUUCAUUUUUCCAUGUUCAGGAAUUACUCAGAAAGUAGAUCAUCCCAGUCCAUGAUUGCUGCAAUUAAAAAUAUCACCAUUUGCCUUCCAACAGUUCAAAUCCAGGAAUGCCACAAGUGUUGAUAGUUUUUGGACAGAUCUGAUUAUGUUCAUUAACAUGUUUUCAUUGAAUGUGAUGGGGUAUUUGAUUACAUUCCUGUCUUGACUGUUUUGAAGGAAGAGUCUGAUUCUGCAAAGUUGUCAACCUAGAUCAGGCAUGGACAAACUUUUUUGCCCUGGGGCCACACUACGGCACCGGCUUGGGGGGGGGGGGGUGCCCGGGAGGAGGCCUGGGCACACGCUGGGUGGGGAGGGCCCAAGCUCGAGAGAGGGCAGGGCCAGGAGGGGACAAGAUAGUCUGUGUCAUCUUCAGGUUGUUCUCUCAGGAUAAGGACCGGGUUGCUUGCCCCAUCCUUAUGCUGGAAGGAAGGCUGGACAUGCGGCAACUGCUCUGAUCCUCGGGCUGUCCUCUUGGCAUUAUGCCGGGAGGAGAGUGAGGCUGGUGGUGACUGAGAGUGCUUUGGAGGGCUCUCAGCUGGUGGCUGCC
rnacentral:lncRNA from 11 species